GACGAACGCUGGCGGCGUGCUUAACACAUGCAAGUCGAACGGAAAGGCCCUGCUUUUGUGGGGUGCUCGAGUGGCGAACGGGUGAGUAACACGUGAGUAACCUGCCCUUGACUUUGGGAUAACUUCAGGAAACUGGGGCUAAUACCGGAUAGGAGCUCCUGCUGCAUGGUGGGGGUUGGAAAGUUUCGGCGGUUGGGGAUGGACUCGCGGCUUAUCAGCUUGUUGGUGGGGUAGUGGCUUACCAAGGCUUUGACGGGUAGCCGGGCUGAGAGGGUGACCGGCCACAUUGGGACUGAGAUGCGGCCCAGACUCCUACGGUAGGCAGCAGUGGAGAAUAUUGCAUAAUGGGCGGAAGCCUGAUGCAGCACCGCCGCGUGCGGGAUGACGGCCUUCGGGUUGUAAACCGCUUUCGCCUGUGCCGAAGCGUGAGUGACGGUAGUGGGUAAAGAAGCACCGGCUAACUACGUG
rnacentral:rRNA from 1 species